rnacentral:rRNA from 1 species
GACGAACGCUGGCGGCGUGCUUAACACAUGCAAGUCGAACGGAAAGGCUCCAGCUUGCUGGAGUACUCGAGUGGCGAACGGGUGAGUAACACGUGGGUGAUCUGCCCUGCACUUCGGGAUAAGCCUGGGAAACUGGGUCUAAUACCGGAUAGGACCGCACUUUGGUGUGUGUGGUGGAAAGGUUUUUCUGGUGUGGGAUGAGCUCGCGGCCUAUCAGUUUGUUGGUGGGGUAAUGGCCUACCAAGACGGCGACGGGUAGCCGGCCUGAGAGGGUGGACGGUCACAUUGAGACUGAGAUACGGCCCAGACGCCGACGGGAGGCAGCAGUGGGGAAGAUUGCACAAUGGGGGAAACCCGGAUGCAGCGACGCCGCGGGGGGGAAGAAGGCCUUCGGGUUGUAAACUCCUUUCGCUAGGGACGAAGCUUUUUGUGACGGUACCUGGAGAAGAAGCACCGGCUAACUACGUG